UAAUACGUAGGGGGCAAGCGUUGUCCGGACUUACUGGGCGUAAAGCGCGCGCAGGCGGACCUGUAUGUGCCGUGUGAAAGCGCCGGACUUACUUCGGCGAGGUCAUGGUAGACAGCAGGUCUUGAGCCUCGGAGAGGUCGGUGGAAUUCCGGGUGGAGCGGUGAAAUGCGUAGAGAUCCGGAGGAACACCAGGGGCGAAAGCGGCCGACUGGCCGAGUGCUGACGCUGAGGCGCGACGGCGUGGGGAGCAAACCGGAUUAGAUACCCGGGUAGUCCACGCAGUAAACGAUGCAUACCCGGUGUCGGUGUACGAUAACUUCGUGCAGCGGUGCCCAAGGUUACCUGAUGAGUAUGCCGCCUGGGGACUACGAGCGCAAGCUUA
rnacentral:rRNA from 1 species